rnacentral:sRNA from 1 species
UAUUAUGUAUUUUAGAUAGUCCUAUCUAGCCAUCUUUAGCUCCCGGUUUUUUAGGACUAUCCCUUUUUAAACA